CAAGAUGAACCAAAUACAUGAUAGUAGUGAGUGAAGGACACAAGAUUGUAGCAUGAAAGAUCAGAUUUUCUAAACCAACAUAUUGAUGACAAAAGAAUCAUGAAAUCAAACAUAGUAGCGAGAAAAAAAGAACCUGUUGUCAAUGGCCAGCUGUUCUUAUUGAGACCACAAGCUCGAUAUGAAGCUUUACUUGGUUCCUCAACUUUGGUUUUUAGCAGUUUGGUCUUUUAUCCAAUAAGCACCCUGAUUAUCCAUAAUCUACAAUCAAAAUGGCAACAUGCUUGAUCUAAUGUUGGAUUAAAGAAUGCAUGAUCCAAAUUGUUACCCAGAAAACGGAAAGUAUUUCAUAACAUGUUACAUGGUCAGCAGACAUGAGGGUAAGUGUCAGAUAUCGAUAUUUAUUCAACAUGGGUAUGCUCAAUUUUUUUCAUGUAUUUGAAUGAUGAUAUAACUAAGUAAUUUAAUCCCUAUACAGAAAUGUUGGUGCAAACAACUAAAAUUGAUAAACUGCGUUCACAGAGAACAGUUUAAAUGCAGACCUGAACUUCUAAGACAAUAUAAACUUGUAGAUAGAACUGAUGCAGUAAGAUAAAUUUCUUCUAUUAAAGGACAGGUUUUGUCAGAUUUCAAAAGUCUGUGUUAGCAUGUAGAUGGUUUGCCGAACAUGGCAUUGAAUAAGAGUAGUCCAAAGAAAAUGAACAGUUACAGUAUCAUAACACACGAGGAGCUCAAACAUUCUAUAUCCUAUAAUAUCUGUUUGUAAGUAGAAAACAGAACUACCAAGGUUGCAAUGAAACACAACCAUUACAACCUAAAAACUUGAACUUUCCAAAGAGAUCCAGCAGACAGUAUUAGAUAGAAUUAGAUUGUCAUGAAUGUAAAGUUGCAAAGACACAUCAAACAUUGGCACGAAGUAGAAGCUUACAUUUGAAAAUAGUGAAUUUUGCCAAUAAUUUCAGAACUUCUUUCUCCCUAAACAGACUAUAUAUAUAUUAUACAUAUAUAUAUACACACACAAAUAACACACAGAAACACACAAGUUUGUACGUUAGAAAUUAUACCUGAGAUGAUUUUGUCAAGUGUAUUUGAUAGAAAUCUGGAAUAUUUUAUUCAGAAGCCUUCCC
rnacentral:lncRNA from 1 species